GAGCAAAACUCUUUCCACAUUCCAUGCAUUUAAAUGGCUUCUCCCGUGUGGAUCAUUUUGUGGCUUCUAAGGCCACUGCUCCGAGCAAAGGUCUUUCCACACUCCAUGCAUUUAAGUGGUUUCUCUCCUGUGUGGAUCAUUUUGUGCCUUUUAAAAUCACUGUCCUGAGCAAAGGUCUUUCCACACUCCAUGCAUUUAUAUGGCUUCUCUCCUGAGUGAAUAUUUUUGUGGCUUCUAAGGCCACUGCUCCGAGCAAAGGUCUUUCCACACUCCAUGCAUUUAAAUGGCUUCUCUCCUGUGU